rnacentral:rRNA from 1 species
UACAGAGGUCUCAAGCGUUGUUCGGAUUCAUUGGGCGUAAAGGGUGUGUAGGUGGCGCGCUAAGUCGGGUGUGAAAUUUCGGAGCUUAACUCCGAAACUGCAUUCGAUACUGGCGUGCUUGAGGACUGGAGAGGAGACUGGAAUUCAUGGUGUAGCAGUGAAAUGCGUAGAGAUCAUGAGGAACACCGAUGGCGAAGGCAGGUCUCUGGGCCAUAACUGACGCUGAGAAGCGAAAGCAUGGGGAGCGAACAGG